CGCCCUUAGAGUUUGAUCAUGGCUCAGGACGAACGCUGGCGGCGUGCCUAAUACAUGCAAGUCGAACGCAGCUUGCUUUGGUAAGAUGAGUGGCGAACGGGUGAGUAACACGUGGGUAACCUGCCUAUCAGAGGGGGAUAACACUUGGAAACAGGUGCUAAUACCGCAUAGAUUUCUUUCGCAUGAAAAGAGAGGAAAGACGUACGUGUCACUGAUAGAUGGACCCGCGGUGCAUUAGCUAGUUGGUGAGGUAACGGCUCACCAAGGCCAUGAUGCAUAGCCGACCUGAGAGGGUGAUCGGCCACACUGGGACUGAGACACGGCCCAGACUCCUACGGGAGGCAGCAGUAGGGAAUCUUCGGCAAUGGACGAAAGUCUGACCGAGCAACGCCGCGUGAGUGAAGAAGGUUUUCGGAUCGUAAAACUCUGUUGUUAGAGAAGAAUAGGUAGGAGUGACUUCCUGCCAUGACGGUAUCUAACCAGAAAGCCACGGCUAACUACGUGCCAGCAGCCGCGGUAAUACGUAGGUGGCAAGCGUUGUCCGGAUUUAUUG
rnacentral:rRNA from 1 species